CGGUUUCGAAUUUGAGAUCUUGAGAGUUGUUGGACAGGCUUUGGGAAGGCGUUUCAAGUGAGAAAGAAAGGAAGUGAUUGUGCAAGUGGUGAUGGGUUUUAUGCAAUGAAAGUGAUCAAGAAGGAUAUUAUUAUCAAAAAGAAUCAUUUCGAUUACAUGAAGGCUUAGAGGGAAAUCCUCACCAAAAUUGUGUAUCCCUUUAUUGUUCAGCUUCAUUACUCUUUCCAAGUUCUUUUUGCUCUCUCCGAGAUUUUGGAUUAUGUCCACCGAGAGAGAGAAAGAGGCGUUUGGAUGUCUAGAAAGUGCUGGGAUUUUCUGGGAAAAUAUUGGUGUUAAAG
rnacentral:misc_RNA from 1 species